rnacentral:rRNA from 1 species
AUUGAACGCUGGCGGCAUGCCUUACACAUGCAAGUCGAACGGUAACAGGUCUUCGGAUGCUGACGAGUGGCGAACGGGUGAGUAAUACAUCGGAACGUGCCCGAUCGUGGGGGAUAACGGAGCGAAAGCUUUGCUAAUACCGCAUACGAUCUACGGAUGAAAGCAGGGGACCGCAAGGCCUUGCGCGGACGGAGCGGCCGAUGGCAGAUUAGGUAGUUGGUGGGAUAAAAGCUUACCAAGCCAACGAUCUGUAGCUGGUCUGAGAGGACGACCAGCCACACUGGGACUGAGACAGGGCCCAGACUCCUACGGGAGGCAGCAGUGGGGAAUUUUGGACAAUGGGCGCAAGCCUGAUCCAGCCAUGCCGCGUGCAGGAUGAAGGCCUUCGGGUUGUAAACUGCUUUUGUACGGAACGAAAAGACUCUGGUUAAUACCUGGGGUCCAUGACGGUACCGUAAGAAUAAGCACCGGCUAACUACGUGCCAGCCGCCGCCGUAAAAC